AAACCAACUGGGAUUACCUUAGUAACGGCGAGUGAAGCGGUAAAAGCUCAAAUUUGAAAUCUGGUACUUUCAGUGCCCGAGUUGUAAUUUGUAGAAUUUGUCUUUGAUUAGGUCCUUGUCUAUGUUCCUUGGAACAGGACGUCAUAGAGGGUGAGAAUCCCGUUUGGCGAGGAUACCUUUUCUCUGUAAGACUUUUUCGAAGAGUCGAGUUGUUUGGGAAUGCAGCUCAAAGUGGGUGGUAAAUUCCAUCUAAAGCUAAAUAUUGGCGAGAGACCGAUAGCGAACAAGUACAGUGAUGGAAAGAUGAAAAGAACUUUGAAAAGAGAGUGAAAAAGUACGUGAAAUUGUUGAAAGGGAAGGGCAUUUGAUCAGACAUGGUGUUUUUGCAUGCACUCGCCUCUCGUGGGCUUGGGCCUCUCAAAAAUUUCACUGGGCCAACAUCAAUUCUGGCAGCAGGAUAAAUCAUUAAGAAUGUAGCUACUUCGGUAGUGUUAUAGCUUUUUGGAAUACUGUUAGCCGGGU
rnacentral:rRNA from 1 species